rnacentral:misc_RNA from 1 species
GCCAUAUUUCCUACCCCCUCUUCCACCAGUGGUCACAAUUGUCAUCUGGCGAUUUGAUGCUAACAUUUGCAGUUCCUCACGUAAGCUUUUUACCUGAGCCAUUAAAGAGUCAUUGCGUGGCUUGCUUUUUGAAGUGCUAGAGUCAUCUCGACUGAUACGCUUUAGAGCAAUCUUAACAGCACCUGCUACAAAAUCUGAUACAUAUGGCAGGCGUCCCUCUUUUGCCAGAACAGAG